GGGGGAGGGGGGAAGGGGUGUCAUUGACCCUAAAACAAAUAACAACUAUACAGCCUCAUAGUAUCUUGAAGUAUUCAAAUAUAAUGAAACGUAUGAUAUUUGUUACAAAUAAAAAGAAAAAGCAAGUCUGCCGAAAAAUGAUUGACAUUUUAAAGACAAAUGUAUAGUGUGUUCAUUGUAAACUUAAAUCAGAAUGCGUAUAGAUGC
rnacentral:lncRNA from 1 species